GACGAACGCUGGCGGCGUGCUUAACACAUGCAAGUCGAACGGAAAGGACCUGCUUUUGUGGGGUGCUCGAAUGGCGAACGGGUGAGUAACACGUGAGUAACCUGCCCUUGACUUUGGGAUAACUUCAGGAAACUGGGGCUAAUACCGGAUAGGAGCUCCUGCUGCAUGGUGGGGGUUGGAAAGUUUCGGCGGUUGGGGAUGGACUCGCGGCUUAUCAGCUGGUUGGUGGGGUAGUGGCUUACCAAGGCUUUGACGGAUAGCCGGCCUGAGAGGGUGACCGGCCACAUUGGGACUGAGAUACGGCGCAGACUCCUACGGGAGGCAGCAGUGGGGAACAUUGCAGAAUGGGCGGAAGCCUGAUGCAGCAACGCCGCGUGCGGGAUGACGGCCUUCGGGUUGUAAACCGCUUUCGCCUGUGACGAAGCGUGAGUGACGGUAAUGGGUAAAGAAGCACCGGCUAACUACGUG
rnacentral:rRNA from 1 species